rnacentral:rRNA from 1 species
UAGUGGCGGACGGGUGAGUAACGCGUGGGUAACCUACCUCAUACAGGGGGAUAACAACCGGAAACGGCUGCUAAAACCGCAUAACAAAGACUAAUCGCAUGAUUAAUCUUUCAAAUAUUUUAUAGGUAUGAGAUGGGCCCGCGUCUGAUUAGCUAGUUGGUGAGAUAAAAGCCCACCAAGGCGACGAUCAGUAGCCGGCUUGAGAGAGUGACCGGCCACAUUGGGACUGAGACACGGCCCAAACUCCUACGGGAGGCAGCAGUGGGGAAUAUUGCACAAUGGGGGAAACCCUGAUGCAGCGACGCCGCGUGAGUGAAGAAGUAUUUCGGUAUGUAAAGCUCUAUCAGCAGGGAAGAAAAUGACGGUACCUGACUAAGAAGCCCCGGCUAACUACGUGCCAGCAGCCGCGGUAACACGUAGGGGGCGAGCGUUGUCCGGAAUUACUGGGCGUAAAGGGCGCGUAGGCGGCCUAACAAGUCAAAUGUGAAACCCCUGGGCUUAACCCUGGGCUUGCAUUAGAAACUGUUGGGCUUGAGGACAGGAGAGGAAAGCGGAAUUCCCAGUGUAGCGGUGAAAUGCGUAGAUAUUGGGAGGAACACCAGUGGCGAAGGCGGCUUUCUGGACUGCACCUGACGCUGAGGCGCGAAAGCCAGGGUAGCGAACGGGGUUAGAUACCCCGGUAGUCCUGGCCGUAAACGAUGGAUACUAGGUGUGGGAGGUAUCGACCCCUUCCGUGCCGCAGCUAACGCACUAAGUAUCCCGCCUGGGGAGUACGGCCGCAAGGCUGAAACUCAAAGGAAUUGACGGGGGCCCGCACAAGCGGUGGAGCAUGUGGUUUAAUUCGAUGCAACGCGAAGAACCUUACCAGGUCUUGACAUCCCUCUGACAGAUAUAGAGAUAUAUCCUCUCUUCGGAGCAGAGGAGACAGGUGGUGCAUGGCUGUCGUCAGCUCGUGUCGUGAGAUGUUGGGUUAAGUCCCGCAACGAGCGCAACCCCUAUUCUUAGUUGCCAGCGGUACGGCCGGGCACUCUAAGGAGACUGCCGGUGACAAAUCGGAGGAAGGUGGGGAUGACGUCAAGUCAUCAUGCCCCUUAUGACCUGGGCUACACACGUGCUACAAUGGCCGGUACAGAGCGCCGCGAAGCCGCGAGGUGGAGCGAAUCGCAAAAAGCCGGUCCCAGUUCGGAUCGGAGGCUGCAACUCGCCUCCGUGAAGUCGGAAUCGCUAGUAAUCUCGGGUCAGCAUACCGAGGUGAAUACGUUCCCGGGCCUUGUACACACCGCCCGUCACACCACGAAAGUCAACUACACCCGAAACCGGUGCGCUAACUGCAAAAGAGGCAGCCGUCUAAG